GUUGUUAGGUUUUAUUUCAAUGGAGUAUUUAUUCUUGAUGGAUCAUCAGUACAAUAUUGUAAUGGAGAUGAGGGAGUUUUACAUAUAGAUAAGGAUAAAUUGUCCAUCCCAGAGCUUGAAGGCCAUCUGAUGGAUCACACAACUUUUAAGAGGUCUGUUAGGAUGUAUUGGUUGCCAUUUGGCGCAGCAGUGAAUACUGGAAUGAGGAUGUUAGUAGAUGAUAAGUCAUGCCUUGAAAUGGUAGAUGCAAUAGGAUCUGAUGGCGCAGUGGAUAUAUACACAGAAUUAAUUGAUGUGGACAUGGCUGGAUUUAGUGAAACGGAAUUACAAGAUGGAGCUGGAGAUGAAGCUGUGUUUGACCUGUUUAGAGAUGAAAAUGUCUUAAAUUUAGAUCCUCCCGCAGCCACAUUUGCAAAUGCACAUCAUGGUGGCCAAAUUGCAGAAGAUGAAAACAUCUUGGACUUUGGUGCAGCAGCUACAGUUGAGGAUGCACAGAUUGGUGAAGCAAGUACUGAUGAUGAACAAGAAGAGGCUUUAGAUAGUGAAUGUGAAGCCACAGGGUUCACAUCUGAUGAGGACGAUGAAGCGAAGGACAUAAGAAACAAUUACAAAGCAUAUAUGUCAAGAAGGAAGAAGAGAGGAGGCAUUCCUGAGGACACCCCCACUACAAUGGAUCUUCCAACAGGGAAUGAUCCUAACAAUAUGAGUAUGGUUCAGGUGGAUGAAUUUGGAGAUGGCAUUGCAUAUUUUGAUUCAGAUGAAGAUGUAUCAUAUGAUGAUGAUAGUGACACUGAUGCAAAGAGAAGGAAGUGCAGAUUCCCAAUAUUUGAUAGCCAUGCCGACACACCUCAGUUUGCCUUAGACAUGUGUUUUAGAGGCAAGAAGGAAUUAAAAGAUGAAAUAGAAAGGUAUGCACUGAAGAUGAAGGUAAAUAUUAGGUUUCCUAAGAAUGACAAGCAGAGGUUAAGGGCUGUUUGCUCAUGGAAAGGUUGUCCUUGGCUUUUGUAUGCUUCAUACAACUCCAAAACUGACUGGUUUCAGAUUGUAACAUAUAAUCCCAACCAUCAUUGUUGCCCAAUCUUGAAAAACAAAAGAUUAUCUAUAAGUAGAAUCUGUGAUAGUUAUGAGAGUACUAUUAAGGCUAACCCAGCAUGGAAGGCUAGAGCAAUGAAGGAGACGAUACAAGAAGAUAUGGGUGUCGAGGUUUCAUUGACAAUGGUGAAAAGAGCAAAAGCCAAGGUUAUUAGGAAGGUCAUGGAUGCUCGGAGUGGUGAGUACGCAAAGUUAUUUGACUAUGCCCUUGAGCUGAAGCGCAGUAAUCCUGGUAGCAGUGUGCAUAUUGCCCUUGAUCCCGAGGAAGAGGACCAUGUGUUUCAAAGAAUGUAUAUUUGCUUGGAUGCUUGUCGAAAAGGUUUCUUAGAUGGAUGCAGGAGGGUGAUAGGGCUUGAUGGUUGCUUUCUAAAGGGUUCUAUGAAAGGGGAGUGCUGUCAGCUAUUGGGAGAGAUGGAAAUAAUCAGAUUUACCCUAUAGCUUGGGCUGUUGUGGAAUAUGAGAAUUUAAGUUCAUGGAAAUGGUUUCUUGGGCACCUUCAAAAAGAUUUGAAAAUUCCUCAUGGUGCUGAAGGAUGGGUGUUGCUUACAGACAAACAAAAGGGUUUGCUGAAGGCAAUUGACUUGUUCUUUCCAAUGGCUGAGCAUCGAAUGUGUGCACGACACAUUUAUGCAAACUGGAGAAAAAAACAUAGGCUACAGGAGUACCAAAAGAGAUUUUGGAAGAUUGCAAAGUCAUGUAAUGAGAUGCAGUUUAAUCAUUACAAGAGCAAGUUAGCUGCCAAGACACCUAAAGGAUGGGCUGAUUUGCAAAAAACAGAACCAGUACAUUGGUGCCGGGCUUGGUUCAAAACUGGAUCCAAUUGCGAGUCAGUUGAUAACAAUGUGAGUGAAUCAUUCAAUAGCUGGAUUAUAGAUGCAAGAUUUAAACCUAUCCUUGCCAUGUUGGAGGAAAUACGUAUCAUGGUGACAAGAAGGAUUCAAGAGAACAGGAGCAAUAGUGAGAGAUGGGCAAUGACAAUAUGCCCCAACGUUCUCAGGAAGGUAAAUAAAAUUAGGCAUGCAACCCAAUACUGUCAUGUCCUAUGGAAUGGUGCAAAUGGAUUUGAAGUGAGGGACAAGAAAUGGAGGUUCACGGUUGAUCUGGGACAAAAGACAUGUUCCUGUAGAUAUUGGCAAAUCUCAGGUAUCCCAUGUCGACAUGCUUGUGCAGCCCUGUUCACAAUCUCAGAUGAGCCGAACAAUUAUGUAAAUACAUGCUUCUCUAUUGACCAAUACAAGAUAACUUAUCAGCACGUCCUCCAACCAGUGGAGCAUGAGUCUGCUUGGCCUGUGUCCCCAAAUCCUAAACCGUUGCCUCCUAGAGUGAAGAAGAUGCCAGGUCGCCCACAAACAAAAAGGAGGAUGGAUCCUUCAGAACGAAUGAACUUGAGCACUAAAUCCUCUAGAGUUGGCACUAAAAUCAGAUGCAGACGUUGCAGCGGCCUUGGACACAACACUAAGACAUGCUCUGUUCAACCGCAGCAGGACUCGACAUCGCAUAAUCCUUCUCACAAUAGUAAUGCACCAUUGGCCAUUGAACCAGCACCAUCUAAAGGAAAGGGUCAAGCUGCAUCUUCGAGCACAAAGUCAACUAAAAGAAAGGCAAUUGAGGGCUACAGAUUUUAUUAUAGUGAAAGAACUGGUUCAUCAUUUAUUCAGACUGGUCAAAAGAGAAGAGUGGUGUCGUUUGGGAAGUCGAAGUCUGAAGCUAAAGCCACUGCUGAUGGGAAUGCAUCUGUUGUCAUUGAGACAAGUGCAGGUGGUGCCACCUCGUCUGCAAGAGCAACCAUCAACUGCAAAGAUUAAAUCUAGUUCAACAAGCAGAGGAAGGCCAAAUAAAUCGUGAUAGUAGUCUGUAUCAUCUAAGAAGAAUUUGUUGUUAUUGGCCUUUCAUUUUUUUAAUGGUUCUUGUGUCUGCAUCUUGUAAUCGGAGCCUGAAAUAUUUGUGUUAGCAUCUUCUACUUUGCACAUGAAACAUCGUGUCAAUUUCAUGCC